GAACAUGGUCUCUGACUGAGCCCAAUUUUAGUGUGCUAAAUUCCAGAGAACAAAAAAAAGUUAAAAUAGCUAACCAUUAAGCACAUGCACUUGUCUCCCAUGCAUAGUUAUCUUAAUCGGACCGGAUAUUAAAUCGGUUAAGGCUCCGAUUCAACGGUUUACUGGUUCAACCAUAGUUCAACCGGUCUUAUAAUUAAUAAAUAAUAAUAAAAUAUUUUUAUUAUAAAUAAUAAAAAUAAAAAACUUUUUUUUACUCCUUUAACUACUAUGUAGGUGUUUGAAAAUUGAUUAUUGAAAACAUAUUUAAAAGUAUCAAAGUAAUAAUUUUUAUGUACAUUUCACAUAAUUUAAUGUGGUUUCAAAUAUUUUUUUACACUUUUUAGAUUUUGAUUUAGAUUUUUUUGUUGACAAAUUGCUUAUAAUUUUAAUCAAACAUAAGUUGAGAGAUAUUCACUGAGGCAAUAUUCGAUUUUUUUUGAAGGAAAGGAUAGUGAAAUUAGAAAUAUAGGAAAAACAAAUGAAGUGAAAGAGGGUAAUUUUAUUUCUAAAUUUUAAGAAAAUUAGAAAGAAAAUACUAUAUAUGUCCAAAAAAGAAAUACGAUAUGCUUGUCAAAAAAUAAAAUAUUUUUGUAAACGGAGAAAAAAUAGUAUAGAAUAAUUUUAUUUUAAAUUAAUUUUUUUCUUUCCUUGACUAAUUUAAGAUUCUCCAAUGUAGCAUUAAAAAGAAACAAAAAAAAAAAAUCACUUGAAAAACAAUAAUGAAUUCCAUGAAGUGACUGCAGCCGCCAACCACGUGCACCUUGUCAAUGGUCUUUUUCUUUUGUGAAAACUUAUCUACCUCAGGGGUCCCACUUCUGUUCCACCAAAUCCAAUCUAAUAAAUUUGGAACUGUACCGUCCGUUUUUUUUUGGUUUUUCCUGAUAAAAAACAGCCGACUUGAUAAAAAAACAGUUCGGUUUUUUCGGUUCAAUACUAUUCGCUUGCAUUUUUGAUAAAAUAUGUAUAACGAACCAGUUAAAUAGCCGAUUUUCGAUUGAACUGAACGAAUCGAUCCGGUUCUAUAACUAUGCUCUCAUGUCCCCUUUCUCUCGCACGUUGUGAUUUUUUUUAAAAACUUUUGUCUUUCACCCCUGACACAACCACAUGCAUUUGUUGCUCUUCUCUCUCUCUCUUUCUCAAGUUGUGAUUAUUUUAAAAUUUUAUCAUCAACCCUGAUAUUGGCUAUGUUUGGUAUCAGUUUUUUUUUUAAUUUUUUUUUAAAUAAAUAAAAAAAUUAAUAAAAAUUAACUUUUUUACUUUUUUAUUUUAAAUUUUUUGCUUAGUUUUAACUAAAGAUGAAUCAAAAAAAUUAAAAAGUCACAAAAUUUUGACUUUUUUGGUAGAAAGCUUAAAAAAAUUUAAUUUUUAAACAUUACCAAACGGAGUUACUAGCACACGCAUUUUGCAGUUUUUUACGCAUUCUAUGUUAGGUGUACGUAUCUUUAGAAUAAAACGGUCUUUUUUAAAAUAAAAAAUAUCGAACAAGGCGAAUGAGGGUAAAUAUAGAAAACAAAAAGUUAAAAGUAACUAUUUGGGAGUUUUUAACGUCAGUAAGUACUGAGGCAUACAAUAUCGACUGUAUUAAUUAUACAACUUAAAUACAUAAAAUAAGAGAGAAAAAAAAUUUGAAGUCAUCCAAUCACAACUAAUUUGUAUUAUAUGUUUAUUUUAAAAUAUUUGUAUAAAGUAGUACCCCAUAUAGAUAUAAUUUAGAUUGUCUUAAAGUAAAUGGUUUUUAACCAUGUUGUUGUAUUAACAUAUAAAUAUGUAUAGAUACAUACAUAUAUAUAUACACACAUAGAAUUAGUGGAGCUUUUAAAAUUUUAUUUAGUUUCUCUUAUUAUUCUAGCUCGUAUUUAGAAUUUUCAAAUAAUUUAGUAUUUUUAUUAAAUUUAAAAUAUUAAAAUAUUAAAUACUUGCUCCCAAUCCCAACACUUCGAGGCUUACCGAUUGGUAGUGGUGGGGUACGGCGGAGAUGGCUAUGGGAGUUGGAGGUGGAGAGAGAGACACAAAUAUAUAAUUUUUUUAUUUGUUACUUUAUGCGUGAACGUGUUGGGGAUUUAUUAGUCAUUUCACUUCACUUGCUUUUUUAAAUCUGUGAAGUGGUAAGGAGAAUUUGUAAUUUCCAAAAUUACGAGAAUUAGACUGUAUUUUACUAAAUCUCAUGGUGAUAUUUGUAAUUUAACGUGAUAGAGUGAGUGGGGCUAGAUUGGUAAUUAUAACGAGAAAAUGACGAGGAAGGUGGAUAGAAAUGCGGAUCAACGACUCAAAGUCAUGUACCCAUUGCAUUUUAUGAGUAAAUUAUACUUACUUUCCUUGAGAUUUUUAAUAAAUAUAGACAUUUUUCUUGUAGUUUUUUAAAAUUAUACUAAGAGUAUUUCUGUUGCAACUAUUAAAAUUUUUUUGUUAAAGGAUCUAUCUAUCUAUAUAUAUAUAUACAAAAUUAGGACACAAUUUAGUU
rnacentral:lncRNA from 1 species